rnacentral:rRNA from 1 species
UACGGGGGGAGCAAGCGUUGUUCGGAUUUACUGGGCGUAAAGGGCGCGUAGGCGGCCACCGCAAGUCGAUUGUGAAAUCUCCGGGCUUAACCCGGAAAGGUCAACCGAUACUGCGGGGCUAGAGUGCGGAAGGGGCAACUGGAAUUCUUGGUGUAGCGGUGAAAUGCGUAGAUAUCAAGAGGAACACCUGCGGCGAAGGCGGGUUGCUGGGCCGACACUGACGCUGAGGCGCGAAAGCUAGGGUAGCAAACGGG